AGCAGUGGGGAAUUUUUCGCAAUGGGCGAAAGCCUGACGAAGCAACGCCGCGUGGAGGAUGAAGGCCUUCGGGUCGUAAACUCCUUUCGACCGAGAAGAAUGGCCUACGACCUCAUACGUCGUGGGCAUGACGGUAUCGAGGGAAGAAGCCCCGGCUAACUCUGUGCCAGCAGCCGCGGUAAUACAGAGGGGGCAAGCGUUGUUCGGAAUUACUGGGCGUAAAGGGUUCGUAGGUGGCCAACUAAGUCAGACGUGAAAUCCCUCAGCUUAACUGGGGAACUGCGUCUGAUACUGGAUGGCUUGAGUGUAGGAGAGGAAUGCGGAAUUCCAGGUGUAGCGGUGAAAUGCGUAGAUAUCUGGAGGAACACCGGUGGCGAAGGCGGCAUUCUGGACUACAACUGACACUGAGGCACGAAAGCCAGGGGAGCAAACGGGAUUAGAUACCCUGGUAG
rnacentral:rRNA from 1 species